UUCCAGGUUUCGGAAUCGACUCCUAACGGAAUCGAUUACGUGCGAGCCGACCAAGCGACGCUUAUAGGCGGUGCGGCCCGGCCGUGGUGACCCCGCAGUGACCCCGCGGACCUCAGAGGAGCCACGUGGUCACAGCUUGGCCACCGAUGGCGUCAAGCGGCUGCACGUGUGCGAGGAGUGCGGAAAGGGCUUCACGCACGCCAGACGCUGAAGAUCCACGCGCGCACCCACACGGGCGAGUGGCCGCACGAGUGUGAAGAGUGCGGCAAGGGCUUCGCCUUUGUGUCAUACCUCAAGAGGCACCGGACGACGCACAUGGGGGAGCGGCCCUUCGCCUGCAAACGUGUGUGGCAAGAGGUUCUCCCAGAUCUCGACACUCAAAGCGCACCUGAGGACGCACACGGGGGAGUGCCCGUAUGCAUGCACCGAAUGUGGCAAGCGCUUCCUACAGAGCUCGGACCUCAUCAAGCACCGCGUGACUCACGAGAGGGCAGCCCUACACUUCUGAGCGCACCUGUGAUGGAGCGCGCACUCAUAACUCGUGCCCGAGCGCGAGGCUGUACGUGGCUUUGAUGUGCAAUAUGCUUGCGUUUUGCUUGGCUACGCGUACGCCCAUUCGGACUGCACAACCCCUUGCGUUCACAUGCCGGGCACUGGUGGCUAUUUCAUUAUCGUAUCCACGCGGGUUUACCUAGCAAAGCCUCACUGAGUCUCAAGGCUGUUUCCGGAGGGUCUUUCCAAGUUUUUGUGGUAGGAGGGCGAUGUUGCCACUGCGUGUAGUAAUUGGCAGUGCUGUAUAAUUUUUCAUCAUUGGGAUUGUUUGGCCAAUACCAGUUACAUUUUGCGUGCUUUUUACUUUCAGCUAUCACUGGAAACCAGAGAACCCCAGAGAAACCCAUGCAGAAAAGGGGGAGAGAGUGCAAACUCCACACAGGAAGGUGUCCGAGUCGGAAAUCGAACCCAGGCCCUUCUUGCUGUGAGGCACGAGUGUUACCACUGCCACACUAGCCUGCCACUACGCAAAUUUAUAAUGCGCCACUGUAGAGCAGAGGGUUGGUGGAUCAAUGUCGUUUGCGAAACUCCCUGCCCAGUCAAUGGGCGUCGAGGUUGCCUGGCUGGCCCAGGGUAUGACAGUUCAGCGAGUGGAAUAAGCAUACCCUUCAUUCUCGCGGGUUGAGCUAUCGCUAUUUUGCACCAAAUUAAUUAAGGUACAUUUUCACCGAUCGUGCCCCUUUGGCUCGACCAUUUGCGGUUGACCGCGAGAUUCCUUGUACACUUCGUAACUGCACUGCUCGCAAUGUUGCUGCCGCGGAAGAACAGACGCAGUGCCGUGUUGACUCCAUCUUGUGCCUCCUAAGCGGCCCAUCGCGGGUCCCAGGUCACGCGGUGUUACCAGACUUCAGUAAGGUUCAGCCGGACGAUUUUUCUUCUUGUAGUGUACAGUACUGUAGACGGAUGUCUAUAGUAUUGUACACUAUCUUGAUUUGAAGCUUUCGUGACUGCAGGAAUUCAUACUCUUUGGUUCUUUCGGUAAAGUCACGCAGAUAUAAAAUAAAUC